UAGUCCUAUAAUAUAUGCCUUCGCAUUAUAUAUUCACUAUUUAACGUUUUCAUGCUGAUAUUUUUAUUUUUGAUUUUUUGUCUAAUGCGAAGUCAUAUCGUAUUUGAUCAUUUUCCUUUAGCACUUUCCGCCCUGGUUUGACCACGGGGGGGGGGGUAACUUUCUAUUAUUGGGUAUACGGGGAUGUGCCAAAAAUAUGGGUCAUAAUUUUGCGAGAUUUUAUAUAAAAAUGACCCUCCUUUUUAAUGACAUCCUAUAUUAAAAUGCAU
rnacentral:lncRNA from 1 species